UACAGAGGUCUCAAGCGUUGUUCGGAUUCAUUGGGCGUAAAGGGUGCGUAGGCGGCGCGGUAAGUCGGGUGUGAAAUUUCGAGGCUUAACUUCGAAACUGCAUUCGAUACUGCCGUGCUUGAGGACUGGAGAGGAGACUGGAAUUUACGGUGUAGCGGUGAAAUGCGUAGAUAUCGGAAGGAACAUCGGUGGCGAAAGCGGCGCGCUGGACCUCUUCUGACGCUGAGGCGCGAAAGCCAGGGGAGCAA
rnacentral:rRNA from 1 species